rnacentral:rRNA from 1 species
AUUGAACGCUGGCGGCAUGCUUUACACAUGCAAGUCGAACGGUAACAGGGUGCUUGCACCGCUGACGAGUGGCGAACGGGUGAGUAAUGCGUCGGAACGUGCCGAGUAGUGGGGGAUAACGCAGCGAAAGUUGUGCUAAUACCGCAUACGUACUGAGGUAGAAAGUGGGGGACCUUCGGGCCUCACGCUAUUCGAGCGGCCGACGUCUGAUUAGCUAGUAGGUGAGGUAAAGGCUCACCUAGGCGACGAUCAGUAGCGGGUCUGAGAGGAUGAUCCGCCACACGGGGACUGGGACACGGCCCAGACUCCUACGGGAGGCAGCAGUGGGGAAUUUUGGACAAUGGGCGAAAGCCUGAUCCAGCCAUGCCGCGUGUCUGAAGAAGGCCUUCGGGUUGUAAAGGACUUUUGUCAGGGAGGAAAUCCCUAGUGCUAAUAACACUGGGGGAUGACAGUACCUGAAGAAUAAGCACCGGCUAACUACGUGCCAGCAGCCGCCGUAACAC